CUACGUGCCAGCAGCCGCGGUAAUACGUAGGGGGCAAGCGUUAUCCGGAUUCAUUGGGCGUAAAGCGCUCGUAGGCGGUCUGUUAGGUCGGGAGUUAGAUCCGGGGGCUCAACCCCCGUUCGCUCCCGAUACCGGCAGACUUGAGUUUGGUAGGGGAAGGUGGAAUUCCUAGUGUAGCGGUGGAAUGCGCAGAUAUUAGGAAGAACACCAGUGGCGAAGGCGGCCUUCUGGGCCAUAACUGACGCUGAGGAGCGAAAGCUAGGGGAGCAAACAGGAUUAGAUACCCUGGUAGUCCUAGCCGUAAACGAUGGACACUAGGUGUGGGGGAGUAUUUCUUCCGUGCCGCAGCUAACGCAUUAAGUGUCCCGCCUGGGGAGUACGGCCGCAAGGCUAAAACUCAAAGGAAUUGACGGGGGCCCGCACAAGCAGCGGAGCAUGUGGUUUAAUUCGAAGCAACGCGAAGAACCUUACCAGGGCUA
rnacentral:rRNA from 1 species